ensembl:lncRNA
CUUUCUCACCGAGCAGGGACAGGAAGACACUUAACGGCUCAACAACAUUCACGUUUAUCUUUGUGCUUUCUUUCCCUCUUAAAUUAGCUGUCCUGUCUCGUUUAAAUCUAGAAUCAAGUUGCACAACGUGUAGUGUGCGAAAACAUUAGCACCUUUUUAUCCACUAAACUCCUGAGAUACUUUCUGAAUCGGAGUGCUGCAGUUACAGGGUGCAGUUUAGGGCAGCCCCAGAAAGAGACGCUUCCAGCCAACUCUGCAAAGAGAAGAUACAACUGGCAUGUAAACAGAGGACCAAAGCUCUGUUUUCAUUGGUAGUGGACAUGGAAGGCGCUUUAAUAACAUUAACAAGCUGGUGGUGACGGUGGAAAGGAAAAACUCCCUAAGAUGAUAUGAGGAAGAAACCUUGAGAGGAACCGGACUCAGAAGGGAACCCGUCCUCAUGUGGGUGACAACGGAUAGUGUGAAAGUAAAGGAAAGUUCAUUAUGGUUUUAUUAUGAAGUCUGUUUUGAUGAACGAAUCCACUGUUCACUAAAGGAGACCUGAGUGCAAAAUUAUGUGGUAAUUGCGGCCACAGCAGCAACCGUAGUUCCAGUAAACAGCUUCUUACCAUUGUUGUAGCUCUCAAAUGAUUACUUACAUUAGUGAUUUUGAACUUUAUUUGACAUUCUAUAUACGGUUUGUUUGAGCCUAACGACUUUAACGUGUUUAAUGAUUUAAAAAAAAAAAAAAAUCCACUCUGCUUGUGCCUCAUCUGCGAUCUUACAUCUUGGCAGAAAUAGUUCCAGGCAGUAAUAGGCUAUGAUUUACACAGGCUUGAAGUUUUCCAUUACCUUCAGGGAUAACAGAAAAAAGGCCUCCAUUCCUGAAAGAGGGAAUACUCCCUGCAUUCUUGCAAGGGGGUAAGAGUAAGUAAAACAUUGUGUCAGAGUCAUUUAACAAUGUUUUACUUUCUUUGAGGGCUGCUUUCCCACCAUUGUAUUUACUGGAGCCAAAUGCAGUUCUGUUGAUCUGCUUUGUAUUUAGGCUUUUCCAGUUGGAUUGGUCAUUAUCUCACGCAAGGGUGAGUGUACCGGUAAUAGCGAUAGCAUCAAAUAAUACAAGCAUGCAGAAUAGCCAGGAACUAGUGACUUGGGCCUUGGAGCACUGCAAACAGGUUGGAAUUAAAGCCAG